GAAAAGUAGAGAAACGAUAAGAAGCAACCAAGAGAAGAGGAGAAGAAAAAGAGAAUUCGGCAGAGGCUAACACCAAAAUGCUAUUCGGCCAAACAAAAAGAAUAGAAGGAAAAGGCAGCAAAAGAAAAACCCGAUAGGUACUCGAACUCUUAGUAAAAUUUGGCACCAAAAAGGAUAAAAAAAAACACUACACAAAACAAAAUAAAAAGUAUACUAGAAUGAGCAGUAACCCCUCUAGCCAAAUUUUUCUUGAGUAUCGAAGUCCACUUUCGGCACACUUCUCCUCUCCCUUCACUUCCCUUGAUUUUCUCCUAAAAUCUCUUCCCUUAUCCCUCCUGAAUCACUCCACCUAUUUCUCCUCAACUCCCCCAACAACUCCAUUCAAACUCCCCCUU
rnacentral:lncRNA from 1 species